UACGAAGGGGGCUAGCGUUGCUCGGAAUCACUGGGCGUAAAGGGUGCGUAGGCGGGUCUUUAAGUCAGGGGUGAAAUCCUGGAGCUCAACUCCAGAACUGCCUUUGAUACUGAAGAUCUUGAGUUCGGGAGAGGUGAGUGGAACUGCGAGUGUAGAGGUGAAAUUCGUAGAUAUUCGGAAAGAACACCAGUGGCGAAGGCGGCAUCCUGGACCGACAUUGACGCUGAGGAGCGAAAGCUAGGGGAGCAAACGGGG
rnacentral:rRNA from 1 species